GCUUGUAUAGUUUAGUGUUAGGAAAUCGCAAGGCUGUUAACUUUGAGAGGGUGUUUAAACCUGUGAGCG
rnacentral:tRNA from 1 species